GCAUAUCAAUAAGCGGAGGAAAAGAAACCAACAGGGAUUGCCUCAGUAACGGCGAGUGAAGCGGCAACAGCUCAAAUUUGAAAUCUGGCCUCUUUGGGGUCCGAGUUGUAAUUUGUAGAGGAUGUUUCGGGUACCGCCUCGGUCUAAAUUUCUUGGAACAGAAUGUCAAAGAGGGUGAGAAUCCCGUCUUGGACCGGCGGUAGGGCCCAUGUGAAACUCCUUCGACGAGUCGAGUUGUUUGGGAAUGCAGCUCAAAAUGGGUGGUAAAUUUCAUCUAAAGCUAAAUAUUGGCCAGAGACCGAUAGCGCACAAGUAGAGUGAUCGAAAGAUGAAAAGCACUUUGAAAAGAGAGUUAAACAGUAUGUGAAAUUGUUGAAAGGGAAGCGCUUGCAACCAGACUUGAGCGCGGCGGUUCCCCCUUCCUUUUGGUUGGGUUACUCCGCCGUGUCCAGGCCAACAUCGGUUCUGGGGGUCGGUUAAAGGCCCGAGGAAUGUAUCUACUCCUUCGGGGGUAGACUUAUAGCCUCGGGUGUCAUGCGACCUCCCGGGACCGAGGAACGCGCUUCGGCUCGGAUGUUGGCGUAAUGGUUGUCAGCGACCCGUCUUGAAACACGGACCAAGGAGUCUAACAUCUAUGCGAGUGUUUGGGUGUCAAACCCGGAACGCGGAAUGAAAGUGAACGGAGGUAGGAAGCCGCAAGGCUGCACUAUCGACCGAUCCUGAUGUCUUCGGAUGGAUUUGAGUAAGAGCAUAGCUGUUGGGACCCGAAAGAUGGUGAACUAUGCCUGAAUAGGGUGAAGCCAGAGGAAACUCUGGUGGAGGCUCGCAGCGGUUCUGACGUGCAAAUCGAUCGUCAAAUUUGGGUAUAGGGGCGAAAGACUAAUCGAACCAUCUGGUAGCUGGUUCCUGCCGA
rnacentral:rRNA from 1 species